CGCGCACGGUGCGGAAGUCUCUUUUGCUGCAGUUCGGGUGCUUGUGUGUGCGUGUUUUGUGUUAGUGGUUUUGGGGCCCUAAUUGUGAGCGGACAGCAUGGGGGAGACGCAAGGAGGUUGUGGUGCUGGGCGCCGGCUGCCAACUCUGCAAAAGCGUGGUGAAGGUUAGUGCGCCGACCACCGCCUUGUAGAACUGAUACGGUGUUAGGCGGCGCCAUGCCUAGUUCGCCACCGCUGGGUGAGACGGUAACAGCUGAACUAUUGAGUAAUGGAAGACGUGUACAGGUACUGUAAUAGAGUCAGAUCUUCCGGUCACCUUAACAGGGGAUCUUCGCAUCUAAAUUUUGAAAAAUGAGUAUUAUAUCAAAUAAAAGGUUGUCUUGUGUGUAA